rnacentral:rRNA from 1 species
UGGUUGANNANGGCUCAGGAUGAACGCUAGCUACAGGCUUAACACAUGCAAGUCGAGGGGCAGCAUGGUCUUAGCUUGCUAAGGCCGAUGGCGACCGGCGCACGGGUGAGUAACACGUAUCCAACCUGCCGUCUACUCUUGGACAGCCUUCUGAAAGGAAGAUUAAUACAAGAUGGCAUCAUGAGUCCGCAUGUUCACAUGAUUAAAGGUAUUCCGGUAGACGAUGGGGAUGCGUUCCAUUAGAUAGUAGGCGGGGUAACGGCCCACCUAGUCUUCGAUGGAUAGGGGUUCUGAGAGGAAGGUCCCCCACAUUGGAACUGAGACACGGUCCAAACUCCUACGGGAGGCAGCAGUGAGGAAUAUUGGUCAAUGGGCGAGAGCCUGAACCAGCCAAGUAGCGUGAAGGAUGACUGCCCUAUGGGUUGUAAACUUCUUUUAUAAAGGAAUAAAGUCGGGUAUGGAUACCCGUUUGCAUGUACUUUAUGAAUAAGGAUCGGCUAACUCCGUGCCAGCAGCCGCGGUAAUACGGAGGAUCCGAGCGUUAUCCGGAUUUAUUGGGUUUAAAGGGAGCGUAGAUGGAUGUUUAAGUCAGUUGUGAAAGUUUGCGGCUCAACCGUAAAAUUGCAGUUGAUACUGGAUAUCUUGAGUGCAGUUGAGGCAGGCGGAAUUCGUGGUGUAGCGGUGAAAUGCUUAGAUAUCACGAAGAACUCCGAUUGCGAAGGCAGCCUGCUAAGCUGCAACUGACAUUGAGGCUCGAAAGUGUGGGUAUCAAACAGGAUUAGAUACCCUGGUAGUCCACACGGUAAACGAUGAAUACUCGCUGUUUGCGAUAUACUGCAAGCGGCCAAGCGAAAGCGUUAAGUAUUCCACCUGGGGAGUACGCCGGCAACGGUGAAACUCAAAGGAAUUGACGGGGGCCCGCACAAGCGGAGGAACAUGUGGUUUAAUUCGAUGAUACGCGAGGAACCUUACCCGGGCUUAAAUUGCAGAUGAAUUACGGUGAAAGCCGUAAGCCGCAAGGCAUCUGUGAAGGUGCUGCAUGGUUGUCGUCAGCUCGUGCCGUGAGGUGUCGGCUUAAGUGCCAUAACGAGCGCAACCCUUGUUGUCAGUUACUAACAGGUUCCGCUGAGGACUCUGACAAGACUGCCAUCGUAAGAUGUGAGGAAGGUGAGGAUGACGUCAAAUCAGCACGGCCCUUACGUCCGGGGCUACACACGUGUUACAAUGGGGGGUACAGAGGGCCGCUACCACGCGAGUGGAUGCCAAUCCCAAAAACCUCUCUCAGUUCGGACUGGAGUCUGCAACCCGACUCCACGAAGCUGGAUUCGCUAGUAAUCGCGCAUCAGCCACGGCGCGGUGAAUACGUUCCCGGGCCUUGUACACACCGCCCGUCAAGCCAUGGGAGCCGGGGGUACCUGAAGUGCGUAACCGCGAGGAGCGCCCUAGGGUAAAACUGGUGACUGGGGCUAAGUCGUAACAAGGUACCC